rnacentral:rRNA from 1 species
AAAAGCUUUAAUUGAAGAGUUUGAUCAUGGCUCAGAUUGAACGCUGGCGGCAGGCCUAACACAUGCAAGUCGAGCGGAAACAACAGCUAUCCUUUUUUUAAAAGGAUAAUUGGUUGUCGAGCGGCGGACGGGUGAGUAAUGCCUAGGAAGUUGCCCAGUAGAGGGGGAUAACCAUUGGAAACGAUGGCUAAUACCGCAUAAACUCUUUGGAGAAAAGCAGGGGACCUUUUAUAGGCCUUGCGCUAUUGGAUACGCCUAGGUGGGAUUAGCUAGUUGGUAAGGUAAUGGCUUACCAAGGCGACGAUCCCUAGCUGGUCUGAGAGGAUGAACAGCCACACUGGAACUGAGACACGGUCCAGACUCCUACGGGAGGCAGCAGUGGGGAAUAUUGCACAAUGGGCGCAAGCCUGAUGCAGCCAUGCCGCGUGUGUGAAGAAGGCCUUAGGGUUGUAAAGCACUUUCAGCAGUGAGGAAGAAUAUGCAUCUAAUACAUGUAUAUUUUGACGUUAACUGCACAAGAAGCACCGGCUAACUCCGUGCCAGCAGCCGCGGUAAUACGGAGGGUGCGAGCGUUAAUCGGAAUUACUGGGCGUAAAGCGCAUGUAGGUGGUUUGAUAAGUUAGAUGUGAAAGCCCGGGGCUUAACCUCGGAACUGCAUUUAAAACUGUCAGACUAGAGUACUAUAGAGGGGGGUGGAAUUUCAGGUGUAGCGGUGAAAUGCGUAGAGAUCUGAAGGAAUACCAGUGGCGAAGGCGACCCCCUGGAUAGAUACUGACACUCAGAUGCGAAAGCGUGGGGAGCAAACAGGAUUAGAUACCCUGGUAGUCCAUGCCGUAAACGAUGUCUACUUGGAGGUUGUGGCCUUGAGCUGUAGCUUUCGUAGUUAACGCGUUAAGUAGACCGCCUGGGGAGUACGGUCGCAAGAUUAAAACUCAAAUGAAUUGACGGGGGCCCGCACAAGCGGUGGAGCAUGUGGUUUAAUUCGAUGCAACGCGAAGAACCUUACCUACUUUUGACAUCCAAAGAAGCCAGUAGAGAUACAGGUGUGCCUUCGGGAACUUUGAGACAGGUGCUGCAUGGCUGUCGUCAGCUCGUGUUGUGAAAUGUUGGGUUAAGUCCCGCAACGAGCGCAACCCUUGUCCUUGUUUGCCAGCGAGUAAUGUCGGGAACUUCAAGGAGACUGCCGGUGAGAAACCGGAGGAAGGUGGGGACGACGUCAAGUCAUCAUGGCCCUUACGAGUAGGGCUACACACGUGCUACAAUGGUGUAUACAAAGGGUUGCCAACCAGUAAUGGUAAGCUAAUCCCCUAAAGUACAUCGUAGUCCGGAUUGGAGUCUGCAACUCGACUCCAUGAAGUCGGAAUCGCUAGUAAUCGUAGAUCAGCACGCUACGGUGAAUACGUUCCCGGGCCUUGUACACACCGCCCGUCACACCAUGGGAGUGGGUUGCAAAAGAAGUGGGUAGUUUAACUUUCGAGAGGACGCUCACCACUUUGUGGUUCAUGACUGGGGUGAAGUCGUAACAAGGUAGCCCUAGGGGAACCUGGGGCUGGAUCACCUCCUUAA